rnacentral:rRNA from 1 species
CUCGUAGCUUGCUAUGAGAACAAUUAGUGGCAGACGGGUGAGUAAUGCAUAGGAUCUACCUAGUAGUAUAGGAUAGCCACUAGAAGUGGUGGGUAAUACUGUAUAAUCCCUGCGGGGGAAAGAUUUAUCGCUACAUGAUGAGCCUAUGUUAGAUUAGCUAGUUGGUGGGGUAAUGGCCUACCAAGGCAGUGAUCUAUAGCUGGUCUGAGAGGAUGAUCAGCCACACUGGAACUGAGACACGGUCCAGACUCCUACGGGAGGCAGCAGUGGGGAAUAUUGGACAAUGGGCGCAAGCCUGAUCCAGCUAUGCCGCGUGAGUGAGGAAGGCCUUAGGGUUGUAAAACUCUUUCAGUGGGGAAGAUAAUGACGGUACCCACAGAAGAAGUCCCGGCAAACUCCGUGCCAGCAGCCGCGGUAAUACGGAGGGGGCAAGCGUUGUUCGGAAUUAUUGGGCGUAAAGGGCAUGUAGGUGGUUUGGUUAGUUAAAGGUGAAAUGCCAGGGCUUAACCCUGGAGCYGCUWUUAAUACUGCCAGACUGGAGUCCGGGAGA